rnacentral:lncRNA from 1 species
GGUAUUUAGGAACCUGGAGAAAGGAGAUGUAGAAGUCCAACUGUUGAUUUAAUGAGGAGGACAAAACACUUCUUGUUCUGCUAUUUUUUCUAAAGUUAUCUUUUCUCUACCAGUACAGAAAUGAAUUUUAAAGACUCAAAAGGCAAGGUGGCACACAGUAUCUACCAUUACACUAUGAUCUGAACAAUAGCAUUAUCUCCCCUGGGUCCCUCAAUUUUGAUUGCUAGUCAUGUAGUUAUAUAUAUACAUUUUAUUUCAGAGCCGUAACUCGGUCAUGUUAAUUACUCAAGAAUCAGAUGUGAUGGUUUUAACGAGCUAAUAAUAAUUUAAUGAAAACUCAGU